GACCAGCGAGAUUCUCAUGCGGGUGAGUCUGCGGGUAGUGGGAUCACGUGUGGGAUUUGAACAAAGCAGUCUCGAUGCGGCCGAGUACGAAGAUCAAGAGGAAGCGAUGAGAAAGGACGAGAGAACGGGAAAAGAGCUUGGGAUGGAUUGAUGUUUGGAUCACGGCCGCGGAUUGGUUUUGAGUCACGCGAAUGCAAGCGAUACGCAUUGUAGUGUUCCCCGUGUCCACGACCCUGACUGACGGUCGGGGUAAGCGUCGCAAAAAUAAUAAAACAAUAUAUAUAAUAUAUACAUAUAAUAUAUAUCUAUGGUCACCAAAAAUGGACAGGCACACAUGCGACAUAUAAAUAUAUAUUUUUUGGUGACCAUGUUCACAGCUGGUGUCCACCCCUGCCAGCAUACAUAUCCACCCCAGCGGUCCGGGCGCAGAUUUGCGUCCAGGGUGUCUCCCUCUAUUCCUUAAACCCCUGCUCCACAUGCCUUCACAUGACCUCACGGCUGAACCUCUGGUGCCCUUCAUCCUGCAGGCUUUCAGCGUGUUCCAGCGCGAGGGCAUCAACGUGCUCAUGAUGAGCCAGGGCGCUUCCAAGACCAACAUCUCGCUGGUGGUGGACGGCGCCCGCGGCACGGAGGCGGUGCUGGCGCUGCACCGGGAGUUCUUCGAUGGCCCGUCGGUGUGCGCCAUCACCGGCCUACCGCUAGCGCAGGGCAUCGCGGUCGGCCUGGGCGGUAACGGUAACGGCAAUGGCAACGGCCACUCUAAUUAAACUAAUUAACUCAGCGACAGUGGUGAAUGCAUGCUACGGUAAAUGUGAUACGGUGACGGAGGAGCCUCUUGGGCAUUAAACUAAGGCUCUUGUGCUGGCGCGGUACGCGUGUGCGUGUGUGUGUUUGCAUGUGUUCGGGCAUAUGUUUUCAACGGUGGAAAGGAGCCGUGAUUCUAACCCAACGGCUUUUGACUUGCUAUGAUUGCUUGGCGCGCAACUCCAGGAACGGUUGUGGGAGGGACCCGGAGGGCCAAUGCUGGGCGUGGGUUCACGCAAUUCCACCCCGGAAGUACUGGCCGGUCAUCCGCCAAGUAGUUUUGGCAACUGGUAAUGCUGGCGGUAACUAGUCGUACGGCCCGGCUGACGGACAGGGUGAAUCAUCAUAAGCUACGAUUGCCUCUCUGUUGCGGAGCACGUACAGUAAACGUGUGGACUUGGAUGGGUCUGGUGCGUGGGAGCUCUCCUCACGCCGGUGGCGGCUCUGAUAUAUGGGCUCUCUUGGCAGCUUUGGUGGCGGUGGGGGUCGGGGUCGCUAGCAGCCACCCGGUGCGAUCUCAUUCGUUAUUCGUACGACAGAUCCCUCUUGGACCCUACAGGCCGUUCGGUCUGCUGAUUAUUUAAUAGGCGCAGCUCUUGGAUGAUACGAUCAAUGUGGAUUUAUCUCUUAACUCCAUCUAUCGCGUUCUGAUGCCAUGACCGUUUAAUCAUUAGGUAAGAAAGCAAGGUCUUGUGGAGUUUUAGUUCACAGUAAUUGGCGAUGUCAUGGCGUUUACGUGGAGAAGCGCCCUGUCGAGGAUGUGCCGUAGCUUGGCGGUGUGGGUCCCAAGGGCGACGCGUCGGGCCUGCCAUAGCGGUGUCGUGUGCAUGCGUUACCGGGCGAAUGAUGUGCGGAGGUGGUGAAGCAGCCUGUGUUUGGUCGUAGUUGCGGUGAGGCAACGUAAAUAUUAAGUUUUGGGCCUGGUGUAGACAAAGGCCUUUUCAAGUACUCGGCCUUGCGUUCAAUGCUGUUGCUUUGAAGCAGCGAGAGCUCUGUCUUAUCUGUCCAAGUCAUUGCCAGAACGCCGGCAAUGGGGAUAUGGCGGGGGAACGGAGGUUGCCAUGUUGAUGUUAUGUGAUGGAUUUCACACGCAGAUGUACGGCACCUGGACUCUUUUGUAGUGGGUGGGACAGUCCGUUGGUACAAUGGUACAAAAGGGCGUUCGUCGGACGGACUACGGCGUUGGGAAGAUGUCGGCCCAGCACAUCUGGAGGCAACGUCCCAUAGGCGUAAUCGAAAGGCCCACUCCGCCCUUCGUAGUCGUGUGCUGCCUGCAGAAACAUGUUGUGUCCGUCCGUAUCUGAGGAUGUCUUAUCAAGGGUAAUUUGGUAAGCUAUAGGAUUGUAUAGGAUGUAGUAGCCUUGGGCUACUGUAUGGACAUCUAGUCCGUUGCGGUGUGUUGGUUGUAGAGCAUUGCUGUGUGGUAUAUGCCGUGGCAGUGCAGGGUAAUCAGUUAAGUGAUUCCCGAGCUAGGGCAUUUGGAGCGUGAUCCUUUGCUGCACAUUUUGUAGGGGCGGCUCGGUGUAUUUUGUGAUCGUCUUCUUGCGUCUUUCUCGGUGUGCUGUGCAGCUGUUUGUUCUUGGGCAAAACUGGAAACGGACCCGAAGAAUCGAAGUUGCCUGGGGUGGCUGAAUCAUCUGCUGAAUAAAAGUUUUUAACGUGCAAGGAGGGCCUGUGCCCUUUUGUUAUUUAACUUCGUAUUGCAUGUCUUUAAACGCCUUCCAGGGGGAACUGAGUGUUCCCGCCCAUAGCGAAAACUCGUUUCCCAACCUAGGCGUAGUUGCAGAAGAGGGCUGGAGACAGAAUAAUAUGGUACAUUCAUCAUUGUGCAAGCUAUGGUAUAAUCUGCAAGUACGGUUACG
rnacentral:lncRNA from 1 species